rnacentral:rRNA from 1 species
UACGUAGGGUGCGAGCGUUGUCCGGAAUUACUGGGCGUAAAGAGCUCGUAGGCGGUUUGUCGCGUCGUCCGUGAAAACUUGGGGCUCAACCCCAAGCUUGUGGGCGAUACGGGCAGACUUGAGUACUGCAGGGGAGACUGGAAUUCCUGGUGUAGCGGUGAAAUGCGCAGAUAUCAGGAGGAACACCGGUGGCGAAGGCGGGUCUCUGGGCAGUAACUGACGCUGAGGAGCGAAAGCGUGGGUAGCAAACAGG